UUGAAUUGAAGAGUUUGAUCAUGGCUCAGAUUGAACGCUGGCGGCAGGCUUAACACAUGCAAGUUGAACGGUAGCAGGAANAAGCUUUGCUUUCUUGCUGACGAGUGGCGGAC
rnacentral:rRNA from 1 species